AAGUCGUAACAAGGUAUCCGUAGGUGAACCUGCGGAUGGAUCAUUACCUAAUCUAUCACUUUUUGUCUACUAUUGUGAAUUGUUUCAUUCUACUACAAUCAUAUUUAUAUACAUAUAUAUAUACUAGUAUCAUGAAAAGUAAAACUUUUAGCAACGGAUCUCUAGGCUCUC
rnacentral:misc_RNA from 1 species